ACCUGCAAACGAAUUCCACAUUCAACAUCUUUAUUUUAUAUAUACAAUCGAGAUUUUAACUUUGAAGAAGUUCCAAUGGUGCUGACAUCUUAAGUAGAUAUAAAUUCUCAAAAAUUGUUUACAUGUGUUUAAGGAGAUACACUUUUGAUUUGUAGUUCAAUUGCCAAACAAAAUAGAUGUUCACUACCGUCGGAGACAAAUUGUGCAUACCAGCAUCUACAUUCUCACAGAUGGCACAUGCUGACAUCAUAAGUAGAUAAUAUAGAUUCUCAAAAAUUGUUUGCAUGUCUUUAUGU
rnacentral:misc_RNA from 1 species